rnacentral:pre_miRNA from 1 species
UCUUAUGAAUGAACAAAGUAAGUGGUUUCUUAAGAUGGAAUCUAUUCGUGGUGAAGUUGCUAUGAA